rnacentral:rRNA from 1 species
CACGUAGGGCGCAAGCGUUGUCCGGAAUUAUUGGGCGUAAAGAGCUCGUAGGCGGUCUGUUGCGUCCGCUGUGAAAACUCGGGGCUUAACCCCGAGCCUGCAGUGGAUACGGGCAGACUAGAGGUAGGUAGGGGAGAAUGGAAUUCCCGGUGUAGCGGUGAAAUGCGCAGAUAUCGGGAGGAACACCGGUGGCGAAGGCGAGUCCCUGGACAACACCUGACACUGAGGCACGAAAGCUAGGGGAGCAAACAGG